rnacentral:rRNA from 1 species
GUUAAUCGGGGCAGGGUGAGUCGACCCCUAAGGCGAGGCCGAAAGGCGUAGUCGAUGGGAAACAGGUUAAUAUUCCUGUACUUGGUGUUACUGCGAAGGGGGGACGGAGAAGGCUAUGUUGGCCGGGCGACGGUUGUCCCGGUUUAAGCGUGUAGGCUGGUUUUCCAGGCAAAUCCGGAAAACUAAGGCUGAGGCGUGAUGACGAGGCACUACGGUGCUGAAGCAACAAAUGCCCUGCUUCCAGGAAAAGCCUCUAAGCAUCAGGUAACAUCAAAUCGUACCCCAAACCGACACAGGUGGUCAGGUAGAGAAUACCAAGGCGCUUGAGAGAACUCGGGUGAAGGAACUAGGCAAAAUGGUGCCGUAACUUCGGGAGAAGGCACGCUGAUAUGUAGGUGAAGUCCCUCGCGGAUGGAGCUGAAAUCAGUCGAAGAUACCAGCUGGCUGCAACUGUUUAUUAAAAACACAGCACUGUGCAAACACGAAAGUGGACGUAUACGGUGUGACGCCUGCCCGGUGCCGGAAGGUUAAUUGAUGGGGUCAGCGCAAGCGAAGCUCUUGAUCGAAGCCCCGGUAAACGGCGGCCGUAACUAUAACGGUCCUAAGGUAGCGAAAUUCCUUGUCGGGUAAGUUCCGACCUGCACGAAUGGCGUAAUGAUGGCCAGGCUGUCUCCACCCGAGACUCAGUGAAAUUGAACUCGCUGUGAAGAUGCAGUGUACCCGCGGCAAGACGGAAAGACCCCGUGAACCUUUACUAUAGCUUGACACUGAACAUUGAGCCUUGAUGUGUAGGAUAGGUGGGAGGCUUUGAAGUGUGGACGCCAGUCUGCAUGGAGCCGACCUUGAAAUACCACCCUUUAAUGUUUGAUGUUCUAACGUUGACCCGUAAUCCGGGUUGCGGACAGUGUCUGGUGGGUAGUUUGACUGGGGCGGUCUCCUCCUAAAGAGUAACGGAGGAGCACGAAGGUUGGCUAAUCCUGGUCGGACAUCAGGAGGUUAGUGCAAUGGCAUAAGCCAGCUUGACUGCGAGCGUGACGGCGCGAGCAGGUGCGAAAGCAGGUCAUAGUGAUCCGGUGGUUCUGAAUGGAAGGGCCAUCGCUCAACGGAUAAAAGGUACUCCGGGGAUAACAGGCUGAUACCGCCCAAGAGUUCAUAUCGACGGCGGUGUUUGGCACCUCGAUGUCGGCUCAUCACAUCCUGGGGCUGAAGUAGGUCCCAAGGGUAUGGCUGUUCGCCAUUUAAAGUGGUACGCGAGCUGGGUUUAGAACGUCGUGAGACAGUUCGGUCCCUAUCUGCCGUGGGCGCUGGAGAACUGAGGGGGGCUGCUCCUAGUACGAGAGGACCGGAGUGGACGCAUCACUGGUGUUCGGGUUGUCAUGCCAAUGGCACUGCCCGGUAGCUAAAUGCGGAAGAGAUAAGUGCUGAAAGCAUCUAAGCACGAAACUUGCCCCGAGAUGAGUUCUCCCUGACUCCUUGAGAGUCCUGAAGGAACGUUGAAG